rnacentral:ncRNA from 1 species
AAUUGAACGGUGGAUAAAGGAAUAGUACGCGGAACUUUUUAUUUCAGAGAGUAAGGUUUAGUAGCUGAGAGACCUUAUAAUAACAAGCCGCUGAACCUACCUUUUGAGUCCUAUGAAAACAUAGGCGCUUUCCUGGCGUUAAUAGGAUUAAGUGGGAUGACUUUAUUGUUUGUGAGGUCAUUCAAACAAGGUGGUACCACGGAAGCUAAGCUCCUUUCGUCCUUAUU